UAAAUGUUUCAGAUUUGUUUC
rnacentral:piRNA from 1 species